GCGAGGGGGCCCCCAAAGUGCCCCGGAUUUUCAAAGGGCAUGCCGGCGCCUGGAAAGUUGUGAUGCCCCGGGCAUUCAGGGUAGCGCGGUGGGAAAGCCCGCGCCGCUCGGCCCCUACUCAGGCCGGCCGUCUCGGGGGGCGCGGCCCAGACCACCGACGCGCCUGGCGGGGGCACGAGCCGCUGGGCGUCCACCCUGCCUGGCCCCAGAGGUGUUCCCAGGUACCCGAGCCUCGCGGCGUUUUCAAGUGCUGGCUGCGAAGCUUGAAAAGGACCCGCCGCUGGGCCGGGCGUUUUGUGUUUGCCAAACAAAGCAUGAAGGCAGAGAGGAAUAAUUUGGACCUGGCAAAUUUCCUGUGAGGACUCAAGGAGCACAUGGCCUGCUGAAAUCCAUGAACUACCAGACUGCCUCUAUUCACCUGAUGUCCUGCUUUUCACCCAGCCUCUUCACCACAGCCUUUACGAUGGAGAAUAGAGGAGGAGGAGGGGCACAGAGCCUCUUCUAACUCCAGCCACAUUUUCCUGGGUCUUGUUUCUAAGCAGUGGAAAGCCAGGAAGGAGAGUUAAGAAAGGUACAGAUGAGUCAUCAUCAAUUCCCUUUGUGCUGCUAGAACAAGUGUGGGAGAGAAGCCAUGUACCUGUCUGCCCACUGACACUCAGACAACCAUUGUACAAUAAGAAGCACUUGGCUGCCUGAAGAAUGGAAAGUAAACAUGGCAAGGCCAAGAUGUCCAAGAUGUCCAAGAUGAGUCAACUGGGCAAUGGUGGCAGGAGAGCAACAAUGAACAGUCCUAGUGUUUUGCACAGCCUGGUAUGCAUCUGGCCCCAGAGCCUAUGAGGAUGAGUACUGUGUCCCCCCAAACACCAGCCCUCCAACCCAAUGGAUGCCUAGAACUAUUCAUCAAGAUGAAGUGGGUUUUAUUAUUGUGGAUAUUGUUAGCCAAAAAACACAAAAGAUGCAGAGGAGGAAGGAUUACUACGUUCCUUUUUUGUGAUAUUCAAUGGUUUGAGUCAUGAUGAGGAGGUCAUCAGGGUGAGAGUGGGUAUCUCCCACCCCUUUCCUUUCUUUUGUAACAGAAUAUUGGAUUGAACCCUGCGGUAUGCUGGGCCCCAGGGAUGCAGAGAUGACACACUGCAUGCUCUGCCUUGGAGAAGAAGUCAAGUGGUGAAACCAGGCAAGUGCCAUGCCAUUAGAGUGCCCUGUGGUCAGGAUGUACUCCAAAAGGAUCUGAGACUAACUAUCAGUGUGUGAGCAGCUUUACUUCCUACUGGAGGCACAAGCUGGUUCCUAAAGGACGACAAGGCACUUGCCCAGGGCAAAGGCCUUGAAAUAGGUGGCCAGCAAGUGACAACUGGGUCAUGGCAACCCAAAUGUGUCCAGAUGCCAGGAGAGGCUUAGUCAAAUACAAGUCAGCAUGCCAAUUGAGUGUCCUCUUUGACGCUUAGAGCAGUUGAGCAGUUAGGGUAAAUCUUCUUAACUUGGGGCAUGCAAGGCCCUACAGAUCCCCUCUCCCCGCAUUUGGCUUCAGUUACCCUUUCCAACCUCAUUGCCAUUAUUGGCUGCUAUCGUACCCUUUACCCACUUCACUAAACACACCCUGUAUUUUCCUGCCUUUGUGCCUUUCCAGGUACGGUCUGAUCACCCAGAGUCCUCUUCUCCAUAUCUGCCUCUGGCAGAGUCCAGUCAAUCAAUUAAGGUCAAAUUCCUCCUCCAAUAAACCCAUCCCUUGGGGCAUAUCCACCAUCUCUACCCACAUGCCACUAGAAAGAAUCAAUCUCUCCUUCCCUUUUGUGCCCAGGACACUUAGUACCUCUGUUAAGAACUUGACAAAGCCUGCCUUGUAUAGCCAAAUGGUUAAGAAUACAAGCUGUAGUUUCAAGAGAGCAGACUUAGAAACACCACCUGUGUGACCUCGGGUAAAUUUACUAACCAUUCGAACCCUCAGUGUCAUGAUCUGUAUAAUGAGAAUAAUAAUAGUGUCUACUUACUAGAGUUAUUUUUAAGAUUAUAUGAGAUAAUGCAUCUAAAGCAUAGUGCCUGACACAUAAUAAGCAUUCAAUAAAUUAUAGCUCAUUUUGUUAUAUGGCCCUGUUGUCCCCACCUUAAAUUGUGAGCCACUAGAGAUCAGGGACUAUUGUUAAUAGUAUUGUAUUGUUA
rnacentral:lncRNA from 10 species